UACGAAGGGGGCUAGCGUUGCUCGGAAUUACUGGGCGUAAAGGGCGCGUAGGCGGGCGAGCGAGUCCGGGGUGAAAUCUUUCGGCUUAACCGGAAAAGGGCCUCGGAUACCGGUCGUCUGGAGGGAGGUAGGGGCAGUUGGAACUUCCGGUGGAGCGGUGAAAUGCGUUGAUAUCGGAAGGAACGCCGGUGGCGAAAGCGAGCUGCUGGACCUCAUCUGACGCUGAGGCGCGAAAGCCAGGGGAGCGAACGGG
rnacentral:rRNA from 1 species